rnacentral:rRNA from 1 species
UACGUAGGGUGCAGGCGUUAAUCGGAAGUACUGGGCGUAAAGCGCGCGCAGGCGGUCUUUUAAGUCAGAUGUGAAAUCCCCGGGCUUAACCUGGGAACUGCGUUUGAAACUGGAAGGCUAGAGUGUGGCAGAGGGGGGUGGAAUUCCACGUGUAGCAGUGAAAUGCGUAGAGAUGUGGAGGAACACCGAUGGCGAAGGCAAUCCCCUGGGCCUGCACUGACGCUCAUGCACGAAAGCGUGGGGAGCAAACAGG